AACGAACGCUGGCGGCAGGCUUAACACAUGCAAGUCGAGCGCCCCGCAAGGGGAGCGGCAGACGGGUGAGUAACGCGUGGGACUAUACCCAUCUCUACGGAAUAACGCAUGGAAACGUGUGCUAAUACCGUAUACGUCCUUCGGGAGGAUGAUUUAUCGGAGAUGUAUGAGCCCGCGUUGGAUUAGCUAGUUGGUGGGGUAAAGGCCUACCAAGGCGACGAUCCAUAGCUGGUCCGAGAGGAUGAGCAGCCACACUGGGACUGAGACACGGCCCAGACUCCUACGGGAGGCAGCAGUGGGGAAUAUUGGACAAUGGGCGCAAGCCUGAUCCAGCCAUGCCGCGUGAGUGAUGAAGGCCCUAGGGUUGUAAAGCUCUUUCACCGGUGAAGAGAAUGACGGUAACCGGAGAAGAAGCCCCGACUAACUUCGUGCCAGCCGCCGCGGUAAAAC
rnacentral:rRNA from 1 species